UUUUUUCAUACUUUUUUUGUGGUUUUGUUUUGUCAGACUGCUUUUUAGUCUGCUUUUUUUGCCUGUAAAACAAGCCUUAGCCGCUUGAACAUAGGCCCGUUUCUGGGGAAGUUUCGGGGUUACAGAGUCUGGAACCGCUGAUGUAGCUCAGAUAAGAAAGCGAUAGCAGUGAUUGGAGUAGCCGUGCGGUGGACCAAGCGUGAUUGAGUAGCCGUGCGGUGAACCAAGCACUUUUCGUUGGCCGCUUAUCGAGAGGCAACAGGGAGGGCCGUAGGGAGUUCCGGGCGGUACUGAGGUGGUUCAGAUGACCAUAGGUAGGUGGAAACACCUCAUGUGAUGAGAAUGAGGACGGAUAUUGGGUCCAAUCACGGCGACUGAAGGAGCCGAGUUGCCGAACAUGAUGCGAGAAUGAUAUAAAUACUGACUUGAAGACUUCAUUCUCGGUAUCAAACACCUGAGUUACAACUUCAACUACAACUACAACCAACUACAACUAUGGGAUUUCUCUGCUUUUCGCGAUCCACCAAGAACACUUCCACUGCCAGUCUCCCCGUCCUGUCCCGGUCUCCUUCCAAGCCCAAGGCUGAAGUCAUUUUCAUUGAAUCCAAGCCUGUUUUCGAGUCCAAGCGAGCUCGUAGACGACGACGAAACGGGGGAGACGGUGGGGGAUUCUUUGGAGGAGGGUUCUUUGGGGGUUUUGAUGGGGGAGGAGGAGGAAGUUGCGACGGAGGUGGUGGUUCCUGUGGAGGAGGAGGAGGAGGAGGAGAUGGCGGUGGCGGAGGAGGAGGAGGGUGUUAAUUGGCAGAUAAUUGAUUGUUUGACAACU
rnacentral:misc_RNA from 1 species